UAGGCUUGACAUACACGGGAAACCCUUCAGAAACGGAGGGCCCUCUUCGGAGCCCGUGCACAGGUGCUGCAUGGGCUGUCGUCAGCUCGUGUCGUGAGAUGUUGGGUUAAGUCCCGCAACGAGCGCAACCCCUGUCUCUAGUUGCCAGCGCGUCAAGGCGGGGACUCUAGAGAGACUGCCGGUGCCAAACCGGAGGAAGGUGGGGAUGACGUCAAGUCAUCAUGGUCCUUACGUCUAGGG
rnacentral:rRNA from 1 species